rnacentral:rRNA from 1 species
UACGGGGGGGGCAAGCGUUGUUCGGAAUUACUGGGCGUAAAGGGCUCGUAGGCGGCCAACUAAGUCAGACGUGAAAUCCCUCGGCUUAACCGGGGAACUGCGUCUGAUACUGGAUGGCUUGAGGUUGGGAGAGGGAUGCGGAAUUCCAGGUGUAGCGGUGAAAUGCGUAGAUAUCUGGAGGAACACCGGUGGCGAAGGCGACUCUUUGGCCUGUAACUGACGCUGAGGCGCGAAAGCGUGGGGAGCAAACAGG